rnacentral:tRNA from 1 species
AGCGGCGUGGCGCAAGGGUUAGCGCACAAGAGUCAUUUUCUUGGGGUUGGUGGUUCGAGUCCAUUCCGCCGCUA